GCCGGCUUAGCUCAGUGGUAGAGCGCUGCACUUGUAACUCAUCCCUGAGUUUGAAAUGCAGCGGUCAGUCGUUCAAUCCGGCUAGUCGGCA